UUCGCAAUGCCCGAAAGGGUGACCGAGCGACGCCGCGUGUGGGAUGAAGGCUUUCGGGUUGUAAACCACUGUCAGGGGGGAAGAAUGCCCGAAUGGUGAAUAGCGCUCGGGAGUGACGGUACCCUCAGAGGAAGCCCCGGCUAACUCCGUGCCAGCAGCCGCGGUAAUACGGAGGGGGCAAGCGUUGUUCGGAUUUACUGGGCGUAAAGGGCGCGUAGGCGGGAUGGUAGGUCUGUUGUGAAAUGCUACCGCUCAACGGAGCAAAGUCAACGGAAACCCCCAUUCUUGAGGCCGGGAGAGGUGAGAGGAAUUGCUGGUGGAGCGGUGGAAUGUAUAGAUAUCAGCAAGAACACCGGUGGCGAAGGCGGCUCACUGGCCCGGUUCUGACGCUGAGUGCGCGAAAGCGUGGGGAGCGAAGAGGAUUAGAUACCCCGGUAGUCCUAGCCGUAAACGAUGGGCACUAAGUAGAGGGGUUUU
rnacentral:rRNA from 1 species